GGUUGCCCCCUCUAUAGGUUGGAAUGGAAGGAGCUUGCAGGCCACGUGACCAAGGCAAGUCACGUGACAAGGAAGUAGCAGUAACCAGGCCUGUGGGAAAAGUCUAGCUCUGGUGGAGCUCCUGGUAACUUGGGCGAUGGGCUUGGAUCGGACGAUUGGAACCAUCUGACCUUUCCCUCAGAUGGGAGGUAUCCUGUGAUAGGAAGUGUCCCCUCUUACCAUGUCUGGCUGGCGGCGACCCAGGAACCAUGUGGUGGCCAUUUGAAGACAAGCCUGCUGGACAUCAGAUUUGGAGGAAGCUACACCAUCCCUUAUCACUCACCUACAGAGAAAGGGAUGGACUAUAAACCAAAAUGAGGUCCAGGGACCUGGGUUAUCUGUCAGAAUUAGCACGAUGGGAUUGGACUUUUGAGUGCCAAGCUGCUUUCGGUUUUGCAAAAGCAGCAGUAGGGGGCGAGCAAGCAUUGGGCAUUCUAAAUCCAGUACUACCCUGUGAAUUGGAUGUAAAUAUUUCCCAGGAGGGCUAUGCUUGGGGGUUAUGGCAAUGACAGGAGAAAGCUCGCCUCCCCAUAGGGUUUUGGCCCCUGAUGUGGUAAAAAGCAGAGGCCCAAUAUAGCCCCAUUGAACAAGUAAAUGCUGUUUGUCAAGCACUGCUAGCCACAGAAUCAGCCACUGGACAGGCAGCUGUGACAGUGAGGACUGCAUUGCCAAUUGCUGGAUGGAUUUAUGACAUCUCUAUGUGACC